CCUACGGGGGACAGCAGUGAGGAAUAUUGGUCAAUGGGCGUAAGCCUGAACCAGCCAAGUCGCGUGAGGGAUGAAGGUUCUAUGGAUCGUAAACCUCUUUUAUAAGGGAAUAAAGUGUGGGACGUGUCCUGUUUUGUAUGUACCUUAUGAAUAAGGAUCGGCUAACUCCGUGCCAGCAGCCGCGGUAAUACGGAGGAUCCGAGCGUUAUCCGGAUUUAUUGGGUUUAAAGGGUGCGUAGGCGGCCUUUUAAGUCAGCGGUGAAAGUCUGUGGCUCAACCAUAGAAUUGCCGUUGAAACUGGGAGGCUUGAGUAUGUUUGAGGCAGGCGGAAUGCGUGGUGUAGCGGUGAAAUGCGUAGAUAUCACGCAGAACCCCGAUGGCGAAGGCAGCCUGCCAAGCCAUGACUGACGCUGAUGCACGAAAGCGUGGGGAUCAAACAGGAUUAGAUACCCGGGUAGUC
rnacentral:rRNA from 1 species